AUCAGGGCUGAUGCAGACAGAGCUCACCGGCGCUUCGUGCUCUGCUUCGAGGACAACAGCUGAGAAGUCCAGUGGCCACAGCCGCAGGUAGCCAUCAGCUGAGCCCGUGGCACAAAGGGUUGAGGAGAUGCUGAUACUGUUUAUAGCAAUCCCAGGGCCUGCCCCAUCCUGCAGCUCUGCAGGCAGCAGCCGCCGUGCGCUCCGCACGCAGACGUUCUU
rnacentral:lncRNA from 1 species